rnacentral:rRNA from 1 species
CGAACGGGUGAGUAAUAUAUCGGAACGUACCCUGGAGUGGGGGAUAACGUAGCGAAAGUUACGCUAAUACCGCAUACGAUCUAAGGAUGAAAGUGGGGGAUCGCAAGACCUCAUGCUCGUGGAGCGGCCGAUAUCUGAUUAGCUAGUUGGUAGGGUAAAAGCCUACCAAGGCAUCGAUCAGUAGCUGGUCUGAGAGGACGACCAGCCACACUGGAACUGAGACACGGUCCAG